GGGAUGUAAAUGUAGUCGAGGGACCAGUUGAUUCAAAAACGAAAGAUUCAAAAACGAAGACUAAGAUCCAUGGCACAAAAUGCAAAAACCAACCAUAUUGGAAAACGGAAUGGAAGAUACACUCCUGACUCUAAUGUUCCCCUACUCCUGGAACAUUGCCUCUGUGAUUCAUUAUGCACGACUCAAGCCAGCUACAUGAGAGAUCAUCUAACAACCGAUUAAGAAUCAUCACAAUUUUCUGCUCAUGUCAAUAAUCAGUACAGAUUGAUCCACAGGUUUGGCAAUGAAGAAUUUGAAACUUCUUUAUUGUUUUCCUAAAUUUGAUUUUGUGUGUAUUUAGAAGCAAAUUGAGCUAACAAUCAGCCACUGCGCAAACGAUAGGACUGAUCUUUUGCACCAACGUGACAAGUCAAUCUCUGUAUUCUACAAAUCUUGCAAUAUCAUGAAGUCCAGCCUCCUCAUAGCAUGCAGCAAUUCGCUCCAAAUAGUCAUCCCAAGUACCUUCGACAGAAGCCAAGUCCAGCAAAAAAGCUGCUUCAUCCAAUGCAAUCUGAGUAGGAUCCUUCCCCUUAUUGAGGUCCUCCUGCCUGCCUGCCUCUGUCACUCUUUCUUUAAUAUACUCAAUUUGUUCAUCAUCCCAUUCUGCUAUUUGAGCAACUUCCUGGUACCUGCAACCCAGAGUCCACCAUGGUGACUUCAGAGCUCCCCUGGCAGCAUCCUUGGCUUCUAGCUUACGCCCAACCCUAUAGAAAGCAAUAGAUGAUACAUAGAAUGCUAAAGCAAAGAAAAUACUGACCAAAUUUUUUACAAUAACAUUUUGUAGAAGCGAUAGGAAAAAUUCCACGAACUUCAGCAAAACUUCAGCAUUGAAUACAAACGGCCGUGCAAAUCCUGGAAAGUGCUCUUUCUUUGUAUAAAAUUCCCCCGUCACCAAAGCUGAAACCUUUAAAAGUACACAUUUAUGGACAAUAAACAAGCAAGCUCAGAAAUUCAUCUGUGUAAACAGUAACCACAGUCAUGUGAGUCUUACAUGGUCUCCUUUUUCAAAAUGACGCAUCACUUUGCGCUCUAGGACAUCCGGAAACAAACCAACCUGCAAAUAAACCAUUUGCAUAGGCUUCAUUCAGUAUCACUCUCUCAACUCUUUUUCUCUGUCUCAGCACCAUUCCAAGCAGUGAUUCUCAAUAUAUUUGACACUCCAUAGUUAGCAAUUCACAACAAAUUUGACAGAUUUUGCAUGAGCUGUAAGUUUCUUACAAUUCAAACUUUAAAUAUUGAAAGUAGAUUGAUAGCAAAUCAUCUUUUGGAGGCUUUUUUUUUCUCUGAUGCCCAAAUUUGUUGUUAGUCCAAAAAUUUUGAACUUGAUACUGUUGAUUCAUCAUUUCUCUCUCAAGUGCAUGGAUAAGAUUUUUAAGUUCAACGGCUUUUCUUAUUUUAAUUUUUUUUUUCGCUUUUAUUUGCAAUUUUUCCUUCAUCCUACUGUAAUACUUAUCAAAUUUGUUUGGAUAAAUUGUUGGGUGGAAGAAUAGAAGUUUUUGCAUCUAGAGGCUUCUGGCCUUUCUAUAAACCGUAAAAGAAUGAUUUUUUGUGAAGUCAUUAGCUAAGCAUGAGGGGCAUGUAAAUGGCCUGAGUAUGUCUCUUUGGCAGAACAUACAAGCAGUACGACAACAAUAUUAUUCAUUGUGGUUUUUCCUCCACUGUAGGGCAUGAACUAUGAAGUUGAAAUUUUGUAUUUAAAUGUUAAUUAACUAUUUAAAAGUUCAUGUUUGGUAUGUUUUGGAUGCAAAUGCAAAAGUAAGUAUUAUUAUUUUUUUAAUAUUUGAACUUAUUUUUUAUUGUGGAAGACAUAUAUGCAUUAUUCAUUAAUUUUAUUUUUU
rnacentral:misc_RNA from 1 species